GGUUAAGCGACUAAGCGUACACGGUGGAUGCCCUGGCAGUCAGAGGCGAUGAAGGACGUGCUAAUCUGCGAUAAGCGUCGGUAAGGUGAUAUGAACCGUUAUAACCGGCGAUUUCCGAAUGGGGAAACCCAGUGUGUUUCGACACACUAUCAUUACGUGAAUACAUAGCGUAAUGAAGCGAACCGGGGGAACUGAAACAUCUAAGUACCCCGAGGAAAAGAAAUCAACCGAGAUUCCCCCAGUAGCGGCGAGCGAACGGGGAGCAGCCCAGAGUCUGAAUCAGCUUGUGUGUUAGUGGAACGGUCUGGAAAGUCCGACGGUACAGGGUGAUAGUCCCGUACACCAAAAUGCACAGGUUGUGAACUCGAAGAGUAGGGCGGGACACGUGGUAUCCUGUCUGAAUAUGGGGGGACCAUCCUCCAAGGCUAAAUACUCCUGACUGACCGAUAGUGAACCAGUACCGUGAGGGAAAGGCGAAAAGAACCCCGGCGAGGGGAGUGAAAAAGAACCUGAAACCGUGUACGUACAAGCAGUGGGAGCCUCUUUAUGGGGUGACUGCGUACCUUUUGUAUAAUGGGUCAGCGACUUAUAUUCUGUAGCAAGGUUAACCGUAUAGGGGAGCCGAAGGGAAACCGAGUCUUAACUGGGCGUUAAGUUGCAGGGUAUAGACCCGAAACCCGGUGAUCUAGCCAUGGGCAGGUUGAAGGUUGGGUAACACUAACUGGAGGACCGAACCGACUAAUGUUGAAAAAUUAGCGGAUGACUUGUGGCUGGGGGUGAAAGGCCAAUCAAACCGGGAGAUAGCUGGUUCUCCCCGAAAGCUAUUUAGGUAGCGCCUCGUGAACUCAUCUUCGGGGGUAGAGCACUGUUUCGGCUAGGGGGUCAUCCCGACUUACCAACCCGAUGCAAACUGCGAAUACCGAAGAAUGUUAUCACGGGAGACACACGGCGGGUGCUAACGUCCGUCGUGAAGAGGGAAACAACCCAGACCGCCAGCUAAGGUCCCAAAGUCAUGGUUAAGUGGGAAACGAUGUGGGAAGGCACAGACAGCCAGGAUGUUGGCUUAGAAGCAGCCAUCAUUUAAAGAAAGCGUAAUAGCUCACUGGUCGAGUCGGCCUGCGCGGAAGAUGUAACGGGGCUAAACCAUGCACCGAAGCUGCGGCAGCGACACUAUGUGUUGUUGGGUAGGGGAGCGUUCUGUAAGCCGUUGAAGGUGGCCUGUGAGGGUUGCUGGAGGUAUCAGAAGUGCGAAUGCUGACAUAAGUAACGAUAAUGCGGGUGAAAAACCCGCACGCCGGAAGACCAAGGGUUCCUGUCCAACGUUAAUCGGGGCAGGGUGAGUCGACCCCUAAGGCGAGGCCGAAAGGCGUAGUCGAUGGGAAACAGGUUAAUAUUCCUGUACUUGGUGUUACUGCGAAGGGGGGACGGAGAAGGCUAUGUUAGCCGGGCGACGGUUGUCCCGGUUUAAGCAUGUAGGCGGAGGUUCCAGGUAAAUCCGGUACCUUUUAACGCUGAGGUGUGAUGACGAGGCACUACGGUGCUGAAGUAACAAAUGCCCUGCUUCCAGGAAAAGCCUCUAAGCAUCAGGUAACACGAAAUCGUACCCCAAACCGACACAGGUGGUCAGGUAGAGAAUACCAAGGCGCUUGAGAGAACUCGGGUGAAGGAACUAGGCAAAAUGGUGCCGUAACUUCGGGAGAAGGCACGCUGAUAUGUAGGUGAAGUGAUUUACUCAUGGAGCUGAAAUCAGUCGAAGAUACCAGCUGGCUGCAACUGUUUAUUAAAAACACAGCACUGUGCAAACACGAAAGUGGACGUAUACGGUGUGACGCCUGCCCGGUGCCGGAAGGUUAAUUGAUGGGGUUAUCCGUAAGGAGAAGCUCUUGAUCGAAGCCCCGGUAAACGGCGGCCGUAACUAUAACGGUCCUAAGGUAGCGAAAUUCCUUGUCGGGUAAGUUCCGACCUGCACGAAUGGCGUAAUGAUGGCCAGGCUGUCUCCACCCGAGACUCAGUGAAAUUGAACUCGCUGUGAAGAUGCAGUGUACCCGCGGCAAGACGGAAAGACCCCGUGAACCUUUACUAUAGCUUGACACUGAACACUGGUCCUUGAUGUGUAGGAUAGGUGGGAGGCUUUGAAGUGUGGACGCCAGUCUGCAUGGAGCCAUCCUUGAAAUACCACCCUUUAAUGGCUGGUGUUCUAACGUGGACCCGUAAUCCGGGUUGCGGACAGUGUCUGGUGGGUAGUUUGACUGGGGCGGUCUCCUCCUAAAGAGUAACGGAGGAGCACGAAGGUUAGCUAAUCCUGGUCGGACAUCAGGAGGUUAGUGCAAAGGCAUAAGCUAGCUUGACUGCGAGAGUGACGGCUCGAGCAGGUGCGAAAGCAGGUCUUAGUGAUCCGGUGGUUCUGAAUGGAAGGGCCAUCGCUCAACGGAUAAAAGGUACUCCGGGGAUAACAGGCUGAUACCGCCCAAGAGUUCAUAUCGACGGCGGUGUUUGGCACCUCGAUGUCGGCUCAUCACAUCCUGGGGCUGAAGUAGGUCCCAAGGGUAUGGCUGUUCGCCAUUUAAAGUGGUACGCGAGCUGGGUUUAGAACGUCGUGAGACAGUUCGGUCCCUAUCUGCCGUGGGCGCUGGAGAAUUGAGGGGGGCUGCUCCUAGUACGAGAGGACCGGAGUGGACGCAUCACUGGUGUUCGGGUUGUCAUGCCAAUGGCAUUGCCCGGUAGCUAAAUGCGGAAGAGAUAAGUGCUGAAAGCAUCUAAGCACGAAACUUGCCCCGAGAUGAGUUCUCCCUGAGACUAUAAGUCUCCUGAAGGAACGUUAAAGACGAUGACGUUGAUAGGUCGGGUGUGUAAGUGUAGCGAUACAUUGAGCUAACCGAUACUAAUGAACCGUGAGGCUUAACCUU
rnacentral:rRNA from 2 species